AGCUUGCUACUGGACCUAGCGGCGGACGGGUGAGUAAUGCUUAGGAAUCUGCCUAUUAGUGGGGGACAACAUCUCGAAAGGGAUGCUAAUACCGCAUACGUCCUACGGGAGAAAGCAGGGGAUCUUCGGACCUUGCGCUAAUAGAUGAGCCUAAGUCGGAUUAGCUAGUUGGUGGGGUAAAGGCCUACCAAGGCGACGAUCUGUAGCGGGUCUGAGAGGAUGAUCCGCCACACUGGGACUGAGACACGGCCCAGACUCCUACGGGAGGCAGCAGUGGGGAAUAUUGGACAAUGGGGGGAACCCUGAUCCAGCCAUGCCGCGUGUGUGAAGAAGGCCUUAUGGUUGUAAAGCACUUUAAGCGAGGAGGAGGCUACUUUAGUUAAUACCUAGAGAUAGUGGACGUUACUCGCAGAAUAAGCACCGGCUAACUCUGUGCCAGCAGCCGCGGUAAUACAGAGGGUGCGAGCGUUAAUCGGAUUUACUGGGCGUAAAGCGUGCGUAGGCGGCUUAUUAAGUCGGAUGUGAAAUCCCCGAGCUUAACUUGGGAAUUGCAUUCGAUACUGGUGAGCUAGAGUAUGGGAGAGGAUGGUAGAAUUCCAGGUGUAGCGGUGAAAUGCGUAGAGAUCUGGAGGAAUACCGAUGGCGAAGGCAGCCAUCUGGCCUAAUACUGACGCUGAGGUACGAAAGCAUGGGGAGCAAACAGGAUUAGAUACCCUGGUAGUCCAUG
rnacentral:rRNA from 1 species